rnacentral:rRNA from 1 species
GACGAACGCUGGCGGCGCGCUUAACACAUGCAAGUCGAGCGAGAACCAGCCCUUCGGGGCUGGGGAAAGCGGCGAACGGGUGAGUAACACGUGGGUAAUCUGCCCUCGGCACCGGAAUAGCCCGGGGAAACCCGGAUUAAUGCCGGAUGGCCUCUCGAGCUCUCGAGCUCGUGAGAAAAGGUAGCUUCGGCCUCCGGCCGAGGAUGAGCCCGCGGUCGAUUAGCUUGUUGGUGAGGUAAUGGCUCACCAAGGCGACGAUCGAUAGCUGGUCUGAGAGGACGAUCAGCCACACUGGGACUGAGACACGGCCCAGACUCCUACGGGAGGCAGCAGUGGGGAAUCUUGCGCAAUGGGCGAAAGCCUGACGCAGCGACGCCGUGUGCGGGAAGAAGGCCU